UACAGAGGUCCCAAGCGUUGUUCGGAUUCACUGGGCGUAAAGGGUGCGUAGGUGGUUGGGUAAGUCCGAUGUGAAAUCUCAGAGCUCAACUCUGAAACUGCAUUGGAUACUAUCUGACUUGAGGGUCGGAGGGGGGACUGGAAUUCUCGGUGUAGCAGUGAAAUGCGUAGAUAUCGAGAGGAACACCAGUGGCGAGGGCGAGUCCCUGGACGACUCCUGACACUGAGGCACGAAAGCUAGGGGAGCAAACAGG
rnacentral:rRNA from 1 species